GAUGACAAGACCCUACAAACAAACCACUUGGCCAAUUUUUAGCAACCAGUCGAAAAGGAACUUUUUCAACUCUUGUCGAGCCCUUCACAAGUGGUCAGUGAACGUUUUUCAACUCCUGACUAACCUUCAAUAGGUGAGGAACGUUUUUCAACUCUUGUUGAGCCCUUCACAGGUGGUUGUUGAGACUUUGGCAAGUGUACCAAAUCGUUCAAGUAAUAAAACCAGUAAGACCGAAUAUCGUUUCCCAAUAGACUCGUUUCACUAGACAAUAGUAUAAUUUCCAACUAACUUAGACUAAAGAAUGCUUCCAUAAUUUGGGUUUUUGUGCAAUAAAAGUAAACAUGAAACAUAAAUAGUAAA
rnacentral:lncRNA from 1 species